AACGAACGCUGGCGGCAGGCCUAACACAUGCAAGUCGAGCGCCCCGCAAGGGGAGCGGCGGACGGGUGAGUAACGCGUGGGAACGUACCCUUUGCUACGGAAUAGCCUCGGGAAACUGGGAGUAAUACCGUAUGUGCCCUUCGGGGGAAAGGAUUUAUCGGCAAAGGAUCGGCCCGCGUUGGAUUAGGUAGUUGGUGGGGUAAUGGCCUACCAAGCCGACGAUCCAUAGCUGGUUUGAGAGGAUGAUCAGCCACAUUGGGACUGAGACACGGCCCAGACUCCUACGGGAGGCAGCAGUGGGGAAUCUUAGACAAUGGGCGCAAGCCUGAUCUAGCCAUGCCGCGCGAGCGAUGAAGGCCUUAGGGUUGUAAAGCUCUUUCAGUGGGGAAGAUAAUGACUGUACCCACAGAAGAAGCCCGGCUAACUCCGUGCCAGCAGCCGCGGUAAAGUACAGUGU
rnacentral:rRNA from 1 species